AUGGAAUAUAGCGUUUGGACCAAGCGACGGCGAAUUAAUGCCAAAGUUCAGGAGCACUUGCGGGUGUUGGAAACCUACAAAAAAGACUUCGGGAAUCUGAAUGAGGAUUUGGACUGUCGUGAAAGGGACCAAGAAUCAGAUUCUGAGGAAAGGCGCCAAAUAUCAGAUUCCGAGGAAAGGGACCAAUAUUCAGAUUCCGAGGAAAGGGACCAAGAUUCAGAUUUAGACGAAGGAGACCGAGAAUCAGAUACCGAGAUGGUUUAUGAUUAUUGCAGUGAAGCAGAACCUUGCCAGAAUAAUUCAGACAUUGUUGAAGGAUCUGAUCCGUGUAGUGAGCUUAAAGAUAAGUUGGCUGAUUGGGCAGCAAAACGCAAUAUUUCACAUAGUGCCUUGUCAGAACUAUUACCUAUUUUAAGGCAUUGUGGCCUUGACUUGCCAAAAGAUCCAAGAACGCUUAUGUCAACCUCAAAAAACUGUGAGGUCAAAGAAAUGGGAGAUGGAAGCUACUACUAUUUUGGAGUUGCAAAUGCUAUUAUUUCACAGCUAUCUCGUGAAUCACCUCCUGUAGUAGACACUCUAACCCUCCGGGUCAACAUUGAUGGCAUAUCCCUCUCCAAAAGCUCGAAAAAUGAGUUGUGGCCUAUUUUGGCCAAGAUUAAAGAAAUUCCGACAUCUGAUGUAUUUGUCGUUGGGCUCUAUGCAGGCCACUCAAAACCCCCUUCUGUUGGUGAAUACUUGAAGGAUUUUAUUCAGGACCUUAAGCUAAUAACUUCCGAGGGUUUUGAUUAUAAUGGGAAACAUUUUAAUGUCGCUCUUCCAGAUGCCUUCAUCUGUGAUGCACCUGCCCGUGUCUUCUUAAAAGGUAUCAAAGGCCAUACAGGCUACAGUGCCUGUGAGCGCUGUGUAGAGCACGGGGUUUAUCUAAAUGGCAAGGUUGUUUUUCCUGACUUGAAUGAACCACUCAGAACUGAUAUAACAUUUAAAAGUAGGUGUGAUGAGGGACAUCACCAUCGUGACUCACCUUUACUAGAGCUGGGAAUAGGGAUGGUUUCAAGUUUUGUACUUGACUACAUGCAUUUAGUUUGCUAG
rnacentral:lncRNA from 1 species